rnacentral:rRNA from 1 species
AAUCAACGCUGGCGGCGUGCCUCAGACAUGCAAGUCGAACGAUUAAAGCUCUCUUCGGAGAGUGUAUAGAGUGGCGCACGGGUGAGUAACACGUAAGUAAUCUACCUUUGAGUGGGGAAUAACCCGGGGAACCCGAGCUAAUACCGCAUAAUGCAGCGGCACCGCAAGGUGACAGUUGUUAAAGGAGCAAUCCGCUUAAAGAGGAGCUUGCGGCAGAUUAGCUAGNGGUAAGGUAAUGGCUUACCAAGGCUUCGAUCUGUAUCCGGCCUGAGAGGGCGGUCGGACACACUGACACUGAAUAACGGGUCAGACUCCUACGGGAGGCAGCAGUCGGGAAUUUUGGGCAAUGGGCGAAAGCCUGACCCAGCAACGCCGCGUGAAGGAUGAAGUAUUUCGGUAUGUAAACUUCGAAAGAAUGGGAAGAAUCAAUGACGUACCAUUUAUAAGGUCCGGCUAACUACGUGCCAGC